rnacentral:rRNA from 1 species
GACGAACGCUGGCGGCGUGCUUAACACAUGCAAGUCGAACGGAAAGGCCCCUUUGGGGGUACUCGAGUGGCGAACGGGUGAGUAACACGUGAGUAACCUGCCCUUGACUUCGGGAUAACUUCAGGAAACUGGGGCUAAUACCGGAUAGGAAUCCUUGCUGCAUGGUGGGGGUUGGAAAGCUUCGGCGGUUUUGGAUGGACUCGCGGCUUAUCAGCUUGUUGGUGGGGUAGUGGCUUACCAAGGCUUUGACGGGUAGCCGGCCUGAGAGGGCGACCGGCCACAUUGGGACUGAGAUACGGCCCAGACUCCUACGGGAGGCAGCAGUGGGGAAUAUUGCACAAUGGGCGGAAGCCUGAUGCAGCAACGCCGCGUGCGGGAUGACGGCCUUCGGGUUGUAAACCGCUUUCAGCAGGGGCGAAGCUUGUGGUGACGGUACCUGCAGAAGAAACACCGGCUAACUACGU